UCCCGCUGAACACAUAAACCAUCUGCUCUUUACCCAAUAGGCUCACUCCUCAUCAUAAAACUUAAAGAAAGAAAGAAAGGAAAAGAAAGAAAAGAAAAAAAGCCUGUACUGUUAUAUCCCUUCCUCCCUCCCACUCUCUAUUGGGAUACAUAAAACUUCAGCUUGAGCAUCAGAACAGCUCUGCGGAGAGACAGUGCUCAUGAGCGCAUGUUUAGAAAAGAAGUGCUAUCCUGAUUGGAGAGAAACCACGUCAGAAACUGGAAUGUUCAAAGACUGAAAGAGAGUGGUUAUGAAACCAGAAAGACAUCUGAUCUUCUUCCAUUCUACUGUGAAGUCAAUCUUCAUUCUUUUAUGGCAGAAGGCCUGCGGUAGGCAAGAAUACAGCUGUACAAUGGAUUGCAUAUCCCUUUUCCUUCCUCCCAGUAACCAAAGCAGCACCUAAUCCUUUUGGCUUUAAAACAAAACAAGAAAAGAUUCUCCUCAAUCAAAUAAUCCCCUGCCAUUAUCAGCGAGACAUCCCUUUCUUGUCUGCGGUAUUUUGCAGCUGUGGUGAAGAAGCUCACAAAUCAUCCCUGAAGGUCAAUGAAAUUGAUAACUUCUGCUUUUGCUUGUAGGGUAGAGGUUCAUCAAAGAUCUAUCUUCUGAGACAUUCCCACUCACUGUUGACAAGCAAGGGGGAGUUGUUGGUGCCAAUUGAUUUCUCUUUGAUUUCUCUGCUGCAUGGAGCCUUCAACGUGAGAGUCAAUUUAGAGUCAAAAGCCCUGAAGUGAUUUAAUAGCUUCUGUGUGAAGAACAGCAGAAUCCAGUAGAGCUUACAAAUCUUGAGUGUGGCAUGUGCUUUGGCAUGACUACAGACCAAGGCUACAGAUGCUGGGCUCAUUUGCCCUAUUAUCCCUUUCAAAGAGGUGACCUCAUAACAAACAGAAGGCUAAUAUUUGAAAACAAGAAAUGGCUGUGGGGAUUCAGGCACAAAAACAAAUCCACUUUUUGUUGUUGUGAUUACAUAGUCACCACUAUUAAU